CUGAGAUGGUCCCUGAAGAAAAGAGUAUCAACCAUGGGCUUUUUCCAGUGGCCAGUGACAAGGGGAGCAGAGAUUACAGCUCUCAAGUGCCUUCUAGUAACCAAAGAGACUGGCAAGGGAUCCAUCAAGUGGUACAUGAAGAACAAAAGAGAAACAUGGAGCAGGAAAAGGCACUUUUCUGGAGAAAAACUGAAGAUUGUGGGAGAAAAAGUUUAAAUCUGGCACCUGACUGCAGUUCUUAUUAGCAUGGACCAAGAUGCUUUGCAGAUUUUGAUAAUCAUCUGAAAGUACAACAGUGUCUCUACUUUUUGGAUACAGUAGAAGUUGUUCCUAGGUAACAGUGGCAGAACUCUUUGACCACUUUGUGAUGUGUAAUUGGAGAGCAAACAUUUUUUGCAGUCCUCCAUGUGACGUGGCUGCUUGAAGUAAGUUUUGUGGUACCAACUGGAGAAAGAAAAAUAAUUACUUGUUUCCCUCUGCCAGGUUAGGGGACCUGCCCUAGGACUUUAUGGGAAAGCACUUGUAUAUCAGCAUUUUAGGCCCCUUGCCACCACUCUGUAUAGCACGAAUAAUGGAACCACAAAAAUCUGUCUGAGAUAAAAAUAGCCUUUGGAUUCUAUUUUGGUAAUAAAAAAUUGUCUAUAGUGAAGUAUAUUUUCUUUGCCAUAGGAUGUCUCUAGGGUAGGUUCAAAACAAAAUAAUAACUCAUAAAGAAUAUUCCAUGAACUCUUCUGACACUUCACUGUGGAGGUUCUACUGAGAAUGGUGACCACUCCUUCGGCAUCUGCUCUUGAACAGACUGGUGGAUAAGGAUGAAUUCCUGCUUCAAUACGUAUUUACCAUCGCAAAACUUAAUUUUAAUUUAGAACCUUGUUUGAACUGAACUUAUAGUCAUGUUUUAAGUGGCCUUUGAAAUGCUGGCCUGUGUGACACCAGACUAUUCUUAGAAACAAAUACUUUAACUAAGGUGUUGUGUAAACAGAUGCUCCUGAUUUUGGAGGCAUUUGAUGACCACUUCCACUUCUCAUCUGUCACAUUAAAGCAUAAGCUGGCCUUGACCUAAGCACACAGUUCUUCUUGAACUUCUAAGACUUUUCAGAGGAUGCUUGCUUUCAUGGGCUGAUACUAUUUCACAGUCUUGUUCUCCCUGAAACCUCAGGGGUUUCAAAACCCUCACACUCCUCAGAGAUUUUAAUCUAGUUCAUGUAUGGCUUUCAACUACUGCUUAAAGGUUAGUGCCCAGCAUUUUGCUUUGUGGGAUGUUUGUAGUGAAAAGAUGCUUAGCCAAAGUUCUUCAGUAAUGUCCCCUGCUUGGGCAGGAGGAAGAGCUUUCACCUGGACAGCUCCCACCUAGGGCAGGUGCAGAAAUGGAUGAGAAGGGAGAAUGCUGUCUCUAUAUAUUUUAGCCCUUACAGAGCAGUUCCCCAAAAGCUGGAACUCAGUUUGUGAUAUGCGGUUAGCUGUGCAAUGGGAAAGAGUCCCUGCCUGCUCUGUUGUUCUCCUCCAGCCUGUCUAGCGUAGCCUAAGUAGGUUAGUUGAAAUACAUGGUCAUAGUAUUUCCAGGGUUUACUUUUCAGCUCCAUACAUUGAAAGAACGUGCUGUCUUCCAGGCACAGAGCUACUCACUACUUUCUGGCACAUCUAGUUCAGCAGUGUUGAUCUUUACGCUUUACAAGACAUGGUUUCAAAGAUUUGAGGGAGGGGGAUGGAGGAAAUUUAAAAAAAAAAAAAAAUCUUUUCUUUAGUUGCUGUUUAUUGCAACCACGGAGUUUUGCUUCUCCCUACAAGCGCGGCAGGUGGUGCUCUUGAUCCUUCCAGACAGAAAUUGUACUUGGUAAGCUCCAGUAAGGUCAGAAUUAUGCCAUCCAACACCAGCUUGCUGGUUUUAGCCCUGUCUGGUUAGUCCAAGGAUCUUUCAGCUUUGAGUGAAGUGGUUUUUAUCAGUGAAAGGGAAGGGAGGGACGAAAAUGUAUUUUAAGUGGGACUGGGUUUUGGCAGUAAAUGAAGAAAAGAUCAAUACAAACAGAAGUAGCUAGUUGGCAAGUACAUACUUAGCCACGCUAUAGCCCAAUCCAGCCUUGGGUCCAAAAUUUAGAUGACAAAGGUGCUAGCUCUGCAACCCACAAGUAAAACAUUGUAGCUAUUAAAUUUUAUGGUCCUAUUGAAGUCAUUUUGGUUGUGCUAUGUACUUUAAGUAGGAUCAUGCUUUCACCUACACGUUGUAAUUUCCCACCACAAGCACCCCAAAACUUAUAAGAAGCAACUAUUCUGAUUUCAAGAUCUUUCAUGAUUUGAGAAUAGCCACUUGCUUGUUUCUCAGCUGGCAGCUAUAAACUGUGCUGAAGAUCAUGCAUUUGCUGUCACCCCUUAGAUCUUAUGAAACCUGGAUCAGAAAGGCCAUCAGCAGUAGAGAGGUAAAUUCUCUUCCAGCUGUUAAUAAACAGAUGGUAAUUAAAACUGGCAAGUGUCAAUAUAUAUGCAUUUUUUUAAAAAAAGAACAUUUCAAGUGGAAAACCCACUUUUCAAGAUUCCAAAAUUCUUAGUUGAAAACGUUUAGGACAGUCACUCAAAAUAGGCAAUUCUGAGCAGAACUUCAAAACUUUGGGGAGAAAGAUUAUUAUGAAUAUAUGCCAGGUAUCUGGUCAACUGGAUUCCUACCCAAGCUUUUUUGCAGCAAGGUGUGAUGGAAAGGUGUGAUUGCCAGUUCUUUUGAAUUUUUCUUGUAAAUAUAUGUUCCUUAGGCAUUUAGUAUUAGGUAAAAAUAUAUGCCCGCUUCAUUUAUUCUAGCAGCAUUUAGUGCUGCUGUUCCCCAGUCCUCUCCUGUAUAUGUUAACUAUGUUCAGAGAUACUCUAAAAUAGGGAAGAUGAUUGUAUGUUUUACCCGA